ACCAGGGAAAGCACCCUGAACAGGGUCCUCGCAUGCCUGUCCCUGGCGUCUGGGGCUGUUCUUAGGGGACCAAGCACCUGAGCAAGCACAGGGUACAGACAACCGCGCCUCGUGCCCAGCACCUCCCGCUGCUCCUGCUGCUCCUGUCUGCACCCGGGAUCUGUAGGGAGCGAUCUCGGAGGCGCGUGGGGCGGGGAGGGGACAAAGCUCAAGAACUAUGAAGUCUAGUUCCAUCUGGCGUGGAACCACCACUGGACCACCACCGAGGCAAACGGAGGACCUUAGCACCCCAUCAGACUCUGCAGCAGAGGCAAACACAGAUCCUGGAAGCCUGCUCUGGAACCUGCAAUGACAGUUUCCUAUGGUAUGGACUGAGACAAAUCCUCUGGGCUUGGUGGCACACCACCCACACUUUGUGGAAACUCGUGUGUGUGUGAUUCCUCCCCCGGACAACAAGAGGAACAGAAAUACAGUAACAGUUUGACCACCUGACUUUCAACAAUGAAGCAAGAAUAGAAACUAUUUGAGCAAAUGUGUGUCCCAGGGGAUGUGGAAGUAAGACCGGAGCUUCUAUGGCUCCUGAGACAGAAGCCAUCUUUGGGGACUUCAGCAGUGUCUGGUCUAAAGGAAACUUCAAUAACUUAAAG